UAAAUGCAAUUUAAAAUUUAUUAAGCUAAACUACACCACAUCCUCUCCAUAUCAAAUACAUAAAUCCAAUCGUUAAUAAUAUAUUUUACAGCAGAUAUAAAAACUGCAGCAGUACAAAAAAAAAAAUUACUAUGACAUGUAUAUUAUAGUUCAACAAAAUGAUAAAUAUGCCUUCAAUCAAUAAAUUUGAUGUAACAAAACAAAUUCUUUCUUACAAGCAGGACACCACUGAUGGCAGCCUAGAUGACACUGAGGCAACCCAUGAGGGCACUGCCAUGGAAUCAGACAUCACUGCAGGUGCAAUUGGAAUAGCAUAUUCCCUCGUAAACACAUGCCUAUCUCAGCUAUGUAAGUGUUUUUACAAAAAGGCCAAAACUUCCCUACUUUGAUUUAAUAUUUACACGACAUGUGUUAUCAGCAUUCAAUACUGUCCUUUGAACUUACUAGCAUAACAAAUAGUGGCAAGUGAACAUCAGAAACCAGCCAAUUAAAAUAAAUAGCACCAAGUUGAAUGCUAGAUGGUCAUCCAUAGUUGCAGGCCAUGUUUUUCCACCAACUAGAAAUAAUGUCAGAACUAUCCAACUAUACUGCAGUUUGAUUUUUAAGGCAAUAAUACUCUUUCAACUACAAGAAUAAUGUGACUAUAUUUAAUUGAUUUUUCACAAAGGCACACUUAAUGACAAGACCCAUGUACUAAAUGGCAGUGGGUCCAAUGAGGACAAAGAUACACCAUUUGAUAUUUCGUCCAAUGCAACAGAUGGCAUGAGCAAGGUGUUUGCAGCAAUACUAUCAACGCCAGGACCCAUUGUUAGCUUCUCCAUCCUGGUUAAAAAGGGCGUGUUCAGGAGAAGUACCGCAAACACCCUCGCUAAUAAAGAGCUAAUGCUGAAAGCAGUGAAUCAACUUUCACAACUUCACUUUGGGCACAUAGAAAAUUUCUCCAUUACUUCCAACAAUUCAAAGGUCAAUUUCUUGUGCAAACAAGCACCACCAACACAAAAAGAGGAGCAUUAGUGUUUUCACGGAGACUGGCAGAUAUCGGGAUGUCUUUGCAACGAUAUAUCGAAGCAUAUGAAACAGAAGAUGAUGAAAGUGCAAGACAUCAGGGAGAUUAUACGCAAAGAAAAGAAGGUGAAACAAAUGGAACGCCUAGAAAACGACAACGCUUAAAUGAUGAAGCAAAUCAAUGAAUAAUAAUUACACCCUUUUCCAUAUUUUUACCUAUAGUAACUGGCACCACAAUUAACAUAA